AGAAACAGAACCAGAGCUAUUAACCCCUUCAUACCACAGGUGGAGGAAAGCAGGACAGAAGAAAGUGCUCACAAAGAGGCUGCCGUGCGCUAUAACCUGAUGACUUAUGUGGGCCAAAGUAGACAUAAACCAACUCUCUCUGGACACCUGAGCAAGCACAGGUUACGCCCAUGGAGUUAUUCCUAUACAAGACUACCCUCUGAGCUGAACUGCCACGUCUUCACCAGCCAGCUGUGCCAGCUUGCAAAAGAUCACCACAGCUGGACUGGUUGGUUAUUGAUGUUAUCUCUUAGAAGAUACGGAAUGCUGAAGAAGGAAGGAUGGGGAAGGCCAGGGGUAUCCAGCAACUCUUCCCAACAAGUUGUAUGCAGUUGUGCCGUGAUUUCAUGUGGCCUCUGUGAGGGGCUAGAGUAUAUAGGAGGGAAAGGGCUAGGAGACAGGGCUCCUUAUACAUAGCCAUGGGGCAGUCACCAUCCAUGCUGAGUGCAAACCUUACAGUAUGGGUAAAGGUCACUCAUGAUCCUUCUUACAACCCUUUACCCAUUGUUUGGUAAGUUUAAUAUUGCUUCCUCAGAGUGAGCUGUGAUGUAAUCAUUUGCAGUUGGAACCUUAGGAGGACAGAUAGACAUUCUUUCAUUUUCUGCCAGGGAAAGAAUCUAGCAAAAUUAUAUAAUCACUCAACUGCACAUUCCUCAAGUAACAUGCCCUACAUUAUUAUGAAUACCUACUAGAAGGGAAGAGAGUUGAAUGUUUACCAUUGGAAAACAUCUCUUAUGAACAGCAUAGCAACUGCUCUUGAGAUAGUAUUAAUUGUUCCCUCUUAAGAAAUACAAUUGAAAAGGCAUGGUCACAAUAGUAAAAGAACUGCAAAGUCACAACAGCAACAGCAGCAACAACAACAAUACAACCAUAAUUGAUAAACACUACUUUCCCCUAUCACUUUUAAUAAGAAACAGGCUGCUCUUUCUAGCAGUUAAGCCUUUCAUCAUCAGUGUAGAUAUUAGCAUAAUGAAAACUUUCUUUACCAAGGCCUUAGUUGUGUUGGCUUUCCAUAGUAUAUUCCACACAAUGGGUGUCUAGCAUGUAUUUGAUGCAUGAAUAGCUGAUGGCAUUAAUGAGUUUGAAAAGCUAGACUUCUUAGAGGUCUUCUGAACAGAGUUCUUAAACUGCUUUGACACUCUUCUUUAACACUGCUGUUAGAAGCAGCUAUUUCUUAGGCUAUCUGUUGACCUUGAAGGUUGACAAGUAAACCAUACUCAUAGACGCACCCCCACAGGCAUGACCUAGACUAGACUAUUGCAUUGCAUUCUGGUCAUUUUCUGUAGAGGUGCCGCUCUGUAAUACUGUGUGGAGUAAGAAUGAAACAUAAAGCAAAUUCCUUCCCUCAUUAUUGAUGACUAUAAUGUCUUUUACCAUUAUUAGUCCAGUCACCACAGUGCCUGAUAGAUAUGCUAUAUUAAGAGUAACUUUAAAAAAUUGUGAGGCAAAAAAAUUAGGCUAUACAUACUCUGUUGUAAGUUAACUUUUCUAGUACAACAAUGAUUAACUUGGUAUGUCUGACUAUGUGUGUGUGUGACACCCACAGUAAUGGCAUCAGCAUCACAUCUUAAAUUGUGCUCUUUACACAAAUAAAACCCUCUGUGCUCAUC
rnacentral:lncRNA from 1 species